GAUAGUGUGGCCGAGUAGUCUAUGGCGCUGGUUUUAGUCUCUUCGGAGGCAAGGGUUCGAAUCACUUCACUGUCA
rnacentral:tRNA from 1 species